rnacentral:siRNA from 1 species
UUAACCGUGACUGAUUUGUUUCA